GUGCUUGCCUCGGCAGCACAUAUACUAAAAUUGGAACAAUACUGAGAAGAUUAGGUUGUCCCUGAGCAAAGUAUAGUAUUUAUUUAAAGACAAGUUUGAAUUGCCC
ensembl:snRNA U6 U6 spliceosomal RNA